CUGCAGUUGAUCAGUUUCAAAUAGGACGAAACGCGCGUCCUGAAU
rnacentral:hammerhead_ribozyme from 1 species